CCUACGGGUGGCAGCAGUGAGGAAUAUUGCCCAAUGGAGGAAACUCUGAGGCAGCAACGCCGCGUGAACGAUGACGGCCUUCGGGUUGUAAAGUUCUUUUCUCAGGGAAGAUAGUGACGGUACCUGAGGAAUAAGUCCCGGCUAACUACGUGCCAGCAGCCGCGGUAAAACGUAGGGGACGAGCGUUAUCCGGAUUUACUGGGCGUAAAGCGCCCGUAGGCGGCUAUUUAAGUUGGACGUGAAAGCUCCCGGCUUAACUGGGAGAGGCCGUUCAAAACUGAAAAGCUAGAGUGAGGCAGAGGAGCGUGGAAUUCCCGGUGUAGUGGUGGAAUGCGUAGAGAUCGGGAGGAACACCAGUGGCGAAAGCGGCGCUCUGGGCCUAAACUGACGCUGAGGGGCGAAAGCGUGGGGAGCGAACGGGAUUAGAUACCCCUGUAGUC
rnacentral:rRNA from 1 species